AACAACACUGGGGUCAUCCGAAAUGCUGUCAUACUACUACACUUUCUGAGUGUCUGAAGUGAACGUUUUCCGAAUGUGGCCUUUGUAUUUCGUAGAUUAUGUUUCUUGUACGGCAGUUUGGGCAUAAAGCUUUUAUUUUCAACAAAUCACUUCCCUUCCAGUGUCGACUCUCACAGAGUUUUCCGUAUGGGAGCAGCAGAUCCUCUGACAAUGACCGUGACCAGGAUCAAAGUGGACUCGUGGAUAUUCCAAUUGAUCGCUUGAAAAUCAGCUAUAGCCGAAGCAGUGGACCCGGUGGUCAACAUGUAAACAAAGUUGUGUAUGCCUACACGUGUAUGUGUGUAGUGAACUCCAAAGCAGAGGUUCGUUUCCAUGUGCAAACGGCUGAUUGGAUUUCAGCAGAGGUGCGCACUGAGCUUCUGCAAAGGUAUAAGACUCGUGUGAACAAGGCAGGGGAACUUGUGGUCACGUCAGAGGUGAGUCGCAGUCAACACAGGAACCUGGCCGAUUGUGUCCAGAAGAUUCGCCACAUGAUCUCAGAGGCCAGCUACACGCCUCCAGAGCCCUCCGAAGAGGACCUCGUUCUCAGGGCCCAACGUUUUUAAAGGUUAGGUGAUGUUCGAAGUAACGUUGGGAAUCCCUGAUCAAUGUGAUUGAAAUAAUUGGUCCAGCCUAAGCAAAGGCAAAGUCUACACCCAUUACUAAGCUACGACAGGACACAUUUACCAAUUGUUGGAGAAAAGAGACCAGGAGCGCUUGAAGCAGAAGAAACUCCUGUCUGCACUGAAGAAGUCACGGCACAUGGAUUUCGACUGAAAUAUCAGGGAAUAUCAAAGCCUAUCACUUGAAAGAAACCAGAGACUGCAGUUCUGUGAAUACUCACACUUAAACCCAAGUCAUAUUUAUUUAUUUAUUUAUUUAUUUAUGUAUUUGUGGGAACAAAUAAUAAAACACCUUUUACAUA